AAACACUUAAUAGAAAGGACUGUGUCAUAUGUGGACAUGCCAGACCUAUUCUGGCUGCUCACCCAUUUGCCCUAAGUAAUGGGGAAGGUUGGAUGUGCAUAUUGGAAAGUUUAAGCCAAAUUCAACCCUGGGUAAAACUCUGAGUCUUGUGUUCCCAGAAGUCCCUCCCCAGAAGGUACCGUGGGGAGUUAAGGCAUAUGGGGGAUAUUACAGCUGUAUCACUGGUACAGGUAGGGGUAUAGACUAUGGGAGGCUCCCUACUACUGCCUGCAUCACUAAUGUCACUAUUAACUAGAGMUGUUGCUGAUGUAUGGUGGAUGUGUGGACCUGCCAGGCGGUUGACCCCAUUUUGAAAGGAGAUUGUCAGGGCACAUGUGCUUUGGCCAGUCUGAUAACACCAUUGACUAUUAUUGAGGUUGCAGCUAACCACCUCCUGGGAUCUGCACAUGACACAGAGGCUCGGGACCAAKCUAGGAGACGGCAGAACCGUGACGCUCCUUGGUCCGAGGGUACAGAUAACAUCCACACCAACCUGGUGGGYGUCCCAAUAGGGGUCCCCCACGAAUUCCAGACAUUAAACAGAAAUGAUGGUCUGUGGCAUCUGAUGCCCACCAUUGGCCCAGCUAUUGUUGAUACUAAACAAAAUGCCUGGAUCAAUUAUCUUUAUUAUAAUUAACAGCGAUUUGUUAACUACACCCACACAGCACUUACGGGGAUGGCUGAACGAUUGGAUGCUACCUCUCAAACCAGUAGACAAAAUAGACUAGAACUGGACAUGAUUCUGGCCAACCAGGGAGGUGUAUGUAAAAUGAUUGGAGAACAGUGUUGCACGUUUGUCCCUAACAAUACUAGUCCGGAUGGGAGCAUUU